rnacentral:rRNA from 1 species
UCAGAACGAACGCUGGCGGCAGGCUUAACACAUGCAAGUCGAGCGCCCCGCAAGGGGAGCGGCAGACGGGUGAGUAACGCGUGGGAAUCUACCCUUUUCUACGGAAUAACGCAGGGAAACUUGUGCUAAUACCGUAUGUGUCCUUCGGGAGAAAGAUUUAUCGGGAAAGGAUGAGCCCGCGUUGGAUUAGCUAGUUGGUGGGGUAAAGGCCUACCAAGGCGACGAUCCAUAGCUGGUCUGAGAGGAUGAUCAGCCACAUUGGGACUGAGACACGGCCCAAACUCCUACGGGAGGCAGCAGUGGGGAAUAUUGGACAAUGGGCGCAAGCCUGAUCCAGCCAUGCCGCGUGAGUGAUGAAGGCCCUAGGGUUGUAAAGCUCUUUCACCGGAGAAGAUAAUGACGGUUC